UACGAGGGGGGCGAGCGUUGUUCGGAAUUAUUGGGCGUAAAGGGUGCGUAGGCGGUUUGGUAAGUCUCUUGUGAAAUCUAUGGGCUCAACUCAUAGUCUGCAAGGGAAACUGCCGGGCUUGAGUGUGGGAGAGGUGAGUGGAAUUUCCGGUGUAGCGGUGAAAUGCGUAGAUAUCGGAAGGAACACCUGUGGCGAAAGCGGCUCACUGGACCACAACUGACGCUGAUGCGCGAAAGCUAGGGGAGCAAACGGG
rnacentral:rRNA from 1 species